rnacentral:rRNA from 1 species
CAGUCGAGCGCGGGAAGCGAGUGGAUCCCUUCGGGGUGAAGCUCGUGGAACGAGCGGCGGACGGGUGAGUAACACGUGGGCAACCUGCCUGUAAGAUCGGAAUAACCCCGGGAAACCGGGGCUAAUGCCGGGUAAUACUUUCUUUCGCAUGAAGGAAAGUUGAAAGAUGGCUUCUUGCUAUCACUUACAGAUGGGCCCGCGGCGCAUUAGCUAGUUGGUGAGGUAACGGCUCACCAAGGCGACGAUGCGUAGCCGACCUGAGAGGGUGAUCGGCCACACUGGGACUGAGACACGGCCCAGACUCCUACGGGAGGCAGCAGUAGGGAAUCUUCCGCAAUGGACGAAAGUCUGACGGAGCAACGCCGCGUGAACGAUGAAGGUCUUCGGAUCGUAAAGUUCUGUUGUUAGGGAAGAACAAGUACCGUGCGAAUAGAGCGGUACCUUGACGGUACCUAACGAGGAAGCCCCGGCUAACUACGUGCCAGCAGCCGCGGUAAUACGUAGGGGGCAAGCGUUGUCCGGAAUUAUUGGGCGUAAAGCGCGCGCAGGCGGUUCCUUAAGUCUGAUGUGAAAGCCCACGGCUCAACCGUGGAGGGUCAUUGGAAACUGGGGAACUUGAGGACAGAAGAGGAGAGUGGAAUUCCACGUGUAGCGGUGAAAUGCGUAGAUAUGUGGAGGAACACCAGUGGCGAAGGCGACU